rnacentral:rRNA from 1 species
UACGGAGGGUGCUAGCGUUGUUCGGAAUCACUGGGCGUAAAGGGCGUGUAGGCGGUCUGUUAAGUCUGAUGUGAAAUCCCCUCGCUCAACGAGGGAACUGCGUCGGAUACUGGCAGACUUGAGUACCGGAGAGGGAGGUGGAAUUCCCGGUGUAGCGGUGAAAUGCGUAGACAUCGGGAGGAACACCGGUGGCGAAGGCGGCCUUCUGGACGGAUACUGACGCUGAGGCGCGAAAGCUAGGGGAGCAAACGGG